UACGAAGGGGGCUAGCGUUGCUCGGAAUCACUGGGCGUAAAGGGCGCGUAGGCGGCUCGAUAAGUCAAAGGUGAAAUCCCUCGGCUCAACUGAGGAACUGCCUUUGAAACUGUCGAGCUCGAGUCCGGGAGGGGGUAGCGGAAUUCCCAGUGUAGCGGUGAAAUGCGUAGAUAUUGGGAGGAACACCAGUGGCGAAAGCGGCUACCUGGACCGGAACUGACGCUGAUGCGCGAAAGCGUGGGUAGCAAACAGG
rnacentral:rRNA from 1 species